rnacentral:rRNA from 1 species
CAAGUCGAGCGCCCCGCAAGGGGAGCGGCGGACGGGUGAGUAACACGUAAAGAAUCUGCCCUGAAGCGGGGAAUAACUAUCCCAACGGAUAGCUAAUACCGCAUAAUGAUGGAGGUGGCAUCACCUCUUCUCAAAAGGCUUCGGCCACUUCAGGAUGACUUUGCGUCCCAUUAGCUUGUUGGCGGUGUAACGGACCACCAAGGCGACGAUGGGUAUCCGGCCUGAGAGGGUGUACGGACACAUUGGGACUGAGAUACGGCCCAGACUCCUACGGGAGGCAGCAGUAGGGAAUUUUGCGCAAUGGGGGAAACCCUGACGCAGCAACGCCAUGUGUGGGAUGAAGCAUUUCGGUGUGUAAACCACUGUCAGCAGGGAAUAAAAGGCCUUAUAGGCAUUUGAAUGUACCUGCGAAGGAAGCCCCGGCUAACUUCGUGCCAGCAGCCGCGGUAAUACGAGGGGGGCAAAUGUUGUUCGGAAUCACUGGGCGUAAAGGGAGCGUAGGCGGGUUCUUAAGUAAGGUGUUUAAUCCCGGGGCCCAACCCCGGACCGGCACUUUAAACUGGGAAUCUUGAAUAGUGGAGAGGUCAGUGGAAUUGGGGGUGUAGCGGUGGAAUGCGUAGAGAUCCCCAAGAACACCAGUUGCGAAGGCGGCUGACUGGACACAUAUUGACGCUGAGGCUCGAAAGCAUGGGGAGCAAACAGGAUUAGAUACCCUGGUAGUCCAUGCCAUAAACGAUGAAUACUAGGUUUUGGGCCCGUCAACGGUCCAGAGCCGCAGCUAACGCGUUAAGUAUUCCGCCUGGGGAGUACGGUCGCAAGACUGAAACUCAAAGGAAUUGACGGGGGCCCGCACAAGCGGUGGA